rnacentral:miRNA from 1 species
UAAUAUAUUGAUCAAAGGGUUUUGUAGGAAUGGGAAGGUGGAUGAAGGGUUUAGGUUUUUUAAUGAGAUGAUGAAGAGUGGUUGUCAACCGGAUGUUGUUACAUAUAAUACGCUUGUGGAUGGAU